AUUCAUUAUUCAACCCAUUUUUAAUAGAUAAUAUGGGUGGAUAACUAUUUUCUUUUAUCCAUUUUGCCACCACUAAUCGACACAAUAAGUAUCUGAAGGCGUUACGAUUUAUUCCUUGUGAUAGGUAUUCUCAUGAAGGCAAUUCUAUGUUUAUUGUCGAGAUAUUUUCGCCCAACAAGAGCAAUUAGACCAAACUUGUUGUUAUGUCUCCGCGGAUUUUGAAAAGUUCGGGUUCUAAGACUUCGAUUAUUGCCUGCGGACGGACGUUAUAUACAUUGAAUUAUAGCAAUGGCAUUACGGUUAAUUGUAUUCUCACGUUUGAUCCAUUCACUAAUGAUCCUGCUCAGUUCCUAUGCGUUAUUGAUUUACCACCUGAGGCUCGUGAUAUUCGUUGUAUGGCCAGCGAAUUGGGAGUGUGUCGAGGUUGUUUACAUCUUGCUCGAGUAAAUCUCCAACCAAGUACAUACCCUUGUAUAAGUGUAUGAGAGCUUGAGGAUUACAGAAGGGGAAAUGGACGUUGGUACACAAGAGAAUCCGGACGAACAAGGCAUUAAGAGUGCCCCUAUUUCGUUGUGAUACCAAGAAUUUGAUUUAUGUACUAGCUUUUCUCCCAAAUAAUGUGGAUCUUAUAUGUUUUCGUGCAGGUAAUUAUCAUGUUGUCGUGUACAAUAUACAAACAGAUAAAGUGGAAAGCUCUACCCGCUAUUCUCUAUUCACGCUGCAUGAUCCACCAAGAUUACUAGUAUCAGAUGUGUUACCAAUUGCCAAAAAUGGUGGCCAACUCCGCUCACAUAGGCAUCUCUGACAGAGGAGCAUAGUCCAAUGCAAACCAAAAAUACUGAGAAACAUGUUCCAUAUUUCUGUGGCUACUGAAAAAAAGGGCAGCUCGCUGCACUAAGCUCCUACUAUGUGUGGGGUCCGGGAAGGGCCGGACCAUAGAGGUCUAUUGUACGCAGUGUUACCCUGCAUUUCUGCAAGAGACUGUUUCCACGGCUCGAACCAGUAACCUUCUGGUCACAUGGCAAUAACUUUACCAGUUACGCUAAGGCUCCCCCUCAUUUCUGUGGCUACUUCUGUGGCUACUGAAUAGUGGAGAAAAAGAUGGUUAAUGGAUUUUGAAUUCGGUUGGCACAUGCAACAUCUAUUGGCCAGUUGGAAACAACUUCUGCUGAGGUUGUCUUGGGUGAAGCGGGCACCCUUUAAAGCCAACCAGCUGAAGUAGCACACUUUAGGUGGUGGGUUUUUUUUUUCCAUUCUAGUUUCCAGGGCCAUAAAUCAAUCGUUAUAUUAUUGGAGCACAGGUCAACAUACUCUGCCUUGACAGAGUAAAUUCCAUCCUUAGUGUUUCCCCAUUUCAUUUUGUCCUUCUGCUGAGUGUUAACAGUGCGCUCUCUAGUAAUUUCAUCACGUUUAUGAAUUCCUCCACCUCCCAAUCUUAUAGGUUCCUUGUAAGGUUUGGGCUCCAUGAGUGGCCUUCCCUGUUUUGAGCAACAAGAGAUUCUGGAUUUGCUGCAAUAAGAAAGGGAUUUGGAAAAGCUUCUUUUACUGUUGAGUCCCCUAACCAUUUCUAAGUCCUGAAUUUUGUGGUGGCCGCAUCAUCAAUCUGAAAAUGGAUGUUUUUAGAAAAAGCUCAGUAGUAUAUGCUCUUCCAUAACCCUGUGCCAUGAGGAGGUUGAACUACAAGCAUGUUGACUUAGAAAUAUAGUACUUCAAUGUAUUAGAGAACUCAUAGUGUUAGAUAAUCUGUAAAUACGAAAUUUUGAAACAUUAUGCAUCCAACCGGAGCAUUUUGAUAUUUAGGAGUCGUACACCAACACUAACAGAAUGAGGUGCAGUAAUUGUUAUUUCUGUUGUUGUUAGAAUCCAAGGCCUCCUAGGUGCUUGUUUUUGCUA